CACUUCCGGUGAAAAUUUCAACGUGUCGACAUGUUGGUUUUCACCGAGUGCUAGAUAAUUCGCUUUUUUCACCUUGAUUGGGCGAAUUACUCGUGCUGUGGUGGACCAAUUGUGUGGCGCUGCGAGUUUAUCGUCGGUUAGUCACAAAAAGUAAAGUCCAUUGGACUAUAAACGAAAAUUAACUGGCAAUGUAGCUUUAUAUGCUGUGCCAUUUUGGGCUUUGUUUCACAAACAAGCCAAACAGAAGCGAAGAAGAAGAAAAAGAAUUCUACCUUACCUUGCACUUAAACCGGCUUGGAAAAUACUCGUGCGGGACAGAACUCACAGAUAACAAAAACAAACUGCCUUAGCAAGCGUCGAACGGAAAAGUCACGCAACCAGACCGACAGUCACACGAGUGAAGAUCCGGUCAAAAGUCAAGCGUACAAGCAGGAACACGACGUCCGUUCACACAAGCUCUGUUGAUCUAAUCAGGGUUGAAUCCGGGCCGCACCAGAUCGUACCGGAUUCCACCGAGAACGUAUGUUGGAUAUUUACAGCACUAAUUAGAACAUACCAUGCACUUCUCCACCAGAUAAGAAUCAGUACCAGCAAGCAGUAUUCUGCGAACGGAAAGUGAUACGCUUUUAACCAGCCUAGCAAACGCGAAACGGAAAACGUCUUCCAAGAGGCUCUUUUCCCGACACUUAAAGUGUCCUACUCCAAGCAUCGGGACUCGGCUACCGGCUUAGCAGAAGUUCCACCAAGGCGUCGGUCGGACAAGGACGGUCCGCAGGCGGAUCACUUGGCGGAAGGAAUCUGGUUACUGCAGCUGCGCAUCUGGACGCAGGUGAGCAGCUACAAUACAAACGGUUAAUAGAAGAUCGUGACGCAAUUGGCCCCACGGUCGAGCUCUAAGGGGGAUUUUGUCAGCAUUAACGAGGGCACGCCGGAUGGAGCUGAAUGAGGCGACAUACACGUUUUAUAUCUUGAAAUGCCGCAGCGGUAUGG